UAGCUCUGUGUCUCUCUUAAUUUUCUAGCGAUGGGCUCCGCGGCUAAAAACGAUAGAAAUAAAAAAGCUGGCCUUAUCGAUUUAGACGACGAUGAUGAAAAAAAGCUGGCUUAUCAUCCCGUCGUCGUCACUGUCUAAUCCCUACAGUAGAAUGAGGCUGUGUUUUUGUAGGUUCUCCGGAGUUCCACUGGCGAAAGGGUGGGUCACCGGAUAUCCACAGGGAAAGAUGAAAUGUGAAGCGAUGGACUGUAUAUGAAUUAUUAGCGAGGCUUAAAGUGACUUUUUUGUCAUUUGGCUUUCUGUUCCACUGAGAUGCACCCUUUUGGUGAUAAAGCGCCAAACGCAUCUUCAAAGUGGAUUGUUGGUU
rnacentral:lncRNA from 1 species